rnacentral:lncRNA from 10 species
GUAAUAUUCCGAGUCCAUGGCAGGCGGACUCUCAGCGGGGAGUGUCCGCGCCCCGCGCCGCCCCCGUCACCUCCUUCCAGGCGGUGUGACCCCGGAUGGCGCGGCUAAGUGUUCAGAGACUGCCGCCCGACCGGAGAACUUAACGGGUGCGGAGGGUAAGAAAGCGGUAGCGGCAAAGGCGAAUUCUUUGACCUGGAAGCCCCGGCGGAAAAGGCCGUACCCGGCAGGCUGGCGGGCGGGCAGGCAUGCGAGCCGGCGUUCUACUUCCUAGAAGCACCGCUGGGGCCAAAAUGGCGUCUGCCCACGACCCUCAAAGGAAUGCAGCGCGCAGGCGCCGCAACCCGUCAACCGGCCAAUGAGAAGACGCAACAGCAAUGACGCCAGGCACGGCCGGAAAGGAGACUCCUGGGAAAAUUGAGCUGGAACUCGGGCUUUAGUUAAAUACCUUCCUCGGGUGGAUCCUGGUCUGACCCCCGUGGUAAUAACGUUAUCAUUGAUUCUUUAUCAUUUCCUAGAUUCUGUGUCCGUGCCUUGUUUGAAGAGCUUUUGAGAUACUCUUCCGAAAAAUGAAGACCUGCUCAAAUGACUUUUCCGUCAUUCAGCCAAACCACUGUCUUUCCCGUCAGGCCCAGAGGCGCCUGGUUCCCGCCCGCAGUAGGCAAGAAAGCGGGCGUUGCUCACUGGGACUUGUAGUAUGACGCCCGCGAGCUGUGAUGCGUUACUAACUGGCGCGAUCCACAGCGCCUCCUCUCCCGGCGUCUUCCUCUCUUUCAUUCUAAACAACGAUUUAAUUUCCUUGUUAAGAAGCCAUUUAGCCAACAGUAAGAAGUACACGUCUUUGCUUCCAGAAGGGUUCCCCUGAUGAAACACCGGAGGAAGGUGAAGUUGAACUUUACCUGAGCCCUGUGUUCCUGGAAAACAGCGGUGAUUAAGAAACCCCCUCAUCUAUUUGUGUUUCUGGAACGGCACACUGUAAAGAACCACCCGUCUCCAUGUGACUCAGAUAAAACGCGUGCAGAUGACCCCCUUGUUUGCCUGUGACAAGGCCAGAGACCUUUCCCCUUUAUUCUGAGCCUGUUAAUAAAGCCAAACAGACCUUCCAAAUUCCCGCUGAUGAUAUCGAGUGAUUAGUUGAGAUUAGAACUCUCCUCCCCCCAACUUGUUAGACACAGAGAACAUUUCCUGUUCACCUGACUGAAACUUCUCCUGAUUGCAAAACAAUCCCAACUGUCAAUCAUCCCACCUUCCUCCCUAUAAAAGUCAAAACUACGCUGCCAAGACACUGAUCAUAUCUGGAGUGCUCUCCCUAUUGCAAUAGGCUGAGUAAAAUCCAUUUCCUUACUUGUUCAUUUUAGUCUUGGACAGAGAGGGGAACAUUCUUGCCUUUGGAUCGGAGGAGGGCCAGUAGAGGUUUAAGCAAAGACUCCCCAGGAGGUGUAGACAUGUAGAAAAAGAGCCUUUUGUUACUACUGCAGAUAUCUGACCCUUCGUUAGCCAGUCAGAGUAUGCUGGCAGAGCCCAAUUAUAGGCUCCUGAAGAGGACGUGGGAAGAGAAGAAAGGGGAGAAGUGGUUUCUCUCUGGAAAUUCCCAUUUUCCUGCAAGAGAGUUCAUGGAUAUUCCUUUCCGAAGUGGUGGAAACAGCAUUGAAUCCAAAUUCCUUCUUUUCAGCUGUGGGAAUGACAUCUUCUCAGGCAGUCUUGAGAAUCAAAAGAACAAAGAAUUAGCAAUGCCCGAAACCGAAUCACUUGAUAGAAGAUAUCAAGGCUCUAAGCCCUCUUCUAAAGAGAAGGUGAGAGUACACCUGUGUAAAUGGAGCAGGAUUAAUAGAUCAAAAUUCCAGGCGGAGGUUCAGUGGAAGAGAACCUUUUAGUUUCACCAGAGAUGUAAGUCCAACAGUCAGGAAAGUGGUUGGGUUAUAAACAAUGCAAUUGCCGGAUGAAAAUUACUGAAUUUUAGCGUUAAAACUAACUGUACUGGUGGUUUGGAGAAAGGAUAGAAACACUCUGGACACACAACAAUGUUCUUAGCUCUAGAAGCCUGCAAAGAAGCAUCAGAUCUAAUUUUUGUACUCAGAAAGCCAACAAUUUAGUGAGACAGGACAAGUCUUUCAAAUGAAUACAGAGCCUUAGUUAAAGCAGUGUGGUUGUCAGUGUAAACACAGCUUACGGAGAGUUCCCAGAGCUCCUUCCUACCAGCUGGCUGUCCCUCCUGGAUCCUGGUAGAGAAAUUCUGUAGUGGCACAGAUGUGUCUUUCUGAGUCUUGGCUGCCUUACAUUUUCAGGACUGCCAUCUCCUUACCCAUCACACCCCACCCCAGUACAGUUGGCCCAUGGCGGUGGUAGGGAGGCACCCAGAAGAUAGGCUGUUUCCCACACCAAGGGUGCUAAUGACAGAAGAAUGGAGAGGCAAACUUGCAGCAGUCCACAAUGCUUCCUCCCUUAACAGAUAACCCAGAGACGCUGCAUUCCCUAAGUGAAUGUAAGAUUUAUUUGGAGACACUCUGAAGACACUGCCAUCUGCUGAACAUGUCAGGGAGCAAGAGGCCGCAUAAUAUAAAUAGCCUGGCACCAUCAGAGCUGUAGACUGGGGGCUUAGAGCCCUAGGCUGUGGGCCUAUCGCUGGGCUUAUUGUACUUAGUAAGCUGGGACAAGCUACCAGCCUUCUAUGAGCCUCAGUUUCCACAUGUAUCAAAUGAGAGGGUUGAAUCAGGUUUCAAGUACUCUUAGCUUUUUUCUACGUCAGAGAAUCCAGGUCUCUAAGUCUGACCCAGCUUCUUGUGCUUGAGCCACUAGCAAGCCCUACCAGGGAAGACACAAAUGAAACUUACUAGCUGCGUGACCUUGAGCAAGUUGCUGAACCUCUCUGUGCUUCAACGUCCUCAUCUAUAAGUUGGGGAUAACAGUACCAUUUAUGUCACAGAGUUGUCAUGAAGCUAAAUGCACAUAUAUAAUUAUAAUGUAUAAUAUGUUAUAUAUAUUACUUGUAUAAUAUUAUACAUGAUAUAAAUAUAUAUAUUAUAUAAUGAUUCCUGGGACAGAAUAUUGUGAAAUUAAAUAAUUCAAACUUUUUUUUUUUUUUUGAAAUGGGAUCUCGCUCUGUCACCCAGGCUGGAGUGCAGUGGCACAAUCUUGGUUCGCUGCAACCUUCGCCUCUUGGGUUCACGCAAUUCUCGUGCUUCAGCCUCCCUAGUAGCUGGGACUACAGGUGUGCACCACCACGCCUGGCUAUUUUUUGUAUUUUUAGUAGAGAUGGGGUUUCACCAUGUUGGCCAGGCUGGUCUUGAACUCCUGGCCUCAGGUGAUCCACCCACCUCGGUCUCCCAAAGUGCUAGGAUUACAGACGUGAACCACUGCACCCAGCCAAAUAAUUCAAACUUAAAGCUGUUGGAACUUAAAUUGUUCUGAGUCUUGAGAGGAAUGUGACUAUGCAGCCUGAGUCACAUGGCAUGCAGCUGCAACUUCUGCCUUUUUUCCACCUAUAAAUAAUUGAGACUAAGUGGUGCCAGAGAUAAAACCCCCUCAGAUCACUGCCCCUUCUACAGAGUAAUAAUGUCAUCUUCCUUGGGAUGCAGCAAUCUGUAACCAAUCAAAUCACUGUAACAUAUGCACUGUCUUGUAUGGAAAAUGUUAUAAUCCUGCUAAAAUUUUUCUGUCUGUCUCUGUAUAAGUAAAACCUUAACUUCUUCACUUUGGAACGCUGAACCCAUUCGUUUGGAGUUGAGGUCUCCUGGGUGGCUAUCCGCACACUCAAAUAAAC